GCUGGGCAUGGUGGCACAUGCCUGUAGUCCCAGUUUCUCGGGAGACUGAGGUGGGAGGACUGCUUGAGUCCAGGAGUUCUGGACAGUAACGUGCUAUGCUGAUCAGGUGUCUGUUCUAAGUUUGACAUCAGUGGGGUGACCUCCUGGGAGUGGGGGACCAUCAGGUUGUCUAAGGAGGAGUAAACCAGCCUAGGUCAGAAACAGAGCAGGUCAAAAUUCCAGUGCUGAUCUGUAGUAAGAUAGCACCUAUGAAUAGCCACUGCACUCCAGCCUGGGUAACAUAGCAAGACCCUGUCUCU
rnacentral:SRP_RNA from 1 species